ACUGGAUUUUCAUCAUUUUAAAAAUGGACAAACAGUGAUUUUUGUGGCAUGGAUUAGACCUAAAUGGAAAGAGCAGUCUGAUGCUCAUAAAACAAUGUGGUCAUUGUGAGCCCUUUGGGACUGCUGAUUCUGCCACUUACCAGCAAAAUAGUCUUUUGAAAGUCAUUUAAGUUCUUUGAGAUCAAUUUGCCUCAUCUGAAAACUGGGGGAAAUAACUAUUGUCUAAACAUAUUGAUCAGUAAGUGUUAAUUCUCUCCCAAUCCAUAAUAAGAAAUUUAUUCCAACACAAAGUUAUUGUUUUCAUUAGAUAAUAAGUCAGUUUACCUUUUGGAGGAUGAAGUGGCACAACAGAUAAAGAUCCUAGUGAUCUGACAUCAACGGGAUGUUGAGGAAAUUUCAAAAUUGAUGAGACUGUCUUUAUUCCUCAUGUUUGUUUAACUUGAGUCUGAGCUUCCCAAGUGAGUUUCUCCAUGUGAUAUAAAAAUGUGGCCGCUUAGAGUUCCCCAGAAACACCAUCUGGGAUGCCACAUAUGUUAGUGGAAUUUGGGGUGUCAUAUGAUAUCACCAUAUGCUUAUUAAUAAGUCCCCAAUAUUAAUAAUCCCAAGAGGGUUCUUGCCUAAUAUUUAGAGAAGAAUUCUAAAUACCAGCAUAAAUGAGCAAGGCAGCAUGGUACAUUUUAAGCCUUUAUUUAAUGAGAAAGAUGCAUAGGAGAUUGAGAGCUUUAUCUAAGAGAGGGAGGGAUAAAUCUGAGUUCAUACCAAGCACCAGGAACCAGCCACGUGGAGGAGCAUCUAGGCCAGGAAGCCUAGGGCGGGUGGCCUAAAGGCCAUGUGCCCUGAAGGUGCAGUGCUACGGCCAACUUCCUCCUGGCAAGAGGCCAGGGAAAAGAGAAGAGAAGGAGACACACUGUGUCCCAGGCUUUUAGCCCACUUCCAAAGGGGAGUGGUUAAUUAACCUGAUUGGUGGUCACCCAGAUGUGGCCAGGGAGGAGCGUGAGGUCACACAGGGGGUGGCAAAGGUAUCAGGUAGGGAGUGAGGUCACACAGGGGCGUGGCAAAGGCGUGGUCUUCCAGCUCACAAACCCAACUGAUUUUAACCUGUAUGCCUGCCUACUUCACAUGAGCUCAUAUUUAACCAAAACUGCAGCAUGUAUUAGUCUGAGAAGUUGAGAGAUUAGAUAGAGUGCUUCAGCUUGUGGACAGUAGAGUCUAUCUCCUGGACUUUAAUUCUUCCUGCAUCAAUGAGCUGUCACAGAGCCUGGCCCCGGUGGAGAAGAAAGAGGGAAUGAUGGUCUCCUUGUCCUUGUGGGAAGGAUGGCAGAUACAUCCCAAUGCCUAAAGAAGAAUAGACAUCCUUCCCAAACUUGAAAUGUGUUUGCCAGAGACAACUUAUACAGCUGGAGUCACAGAAGGCAAACUCACUCACAUCCCUCUGCAAUGAGGAAGGAAAACAAAUCUAUACCAGUAAACAAUAAUUUCAUUUCACAGAACCUGCGUGUGAGUUACUGACACUUCACUGCCAUGAUUUAAUUAAUGAAGUCAAUUAAUGCAGUCUGUGCUUUGCAGUGCCAUCAAUAGGAACUAAAUUAGCCUUUUGGAAAGAUGUUUAUAGGCUUUGCUGAUUUUAGGAAAAAGAGCCUACUGAUAAGGGCAACUGCUUGUGGGAAAUGGUUUGCACCCAAAUAGCAAUGAGGCGUAAGAUUGAACAGAUGUUUCUCCAUCUUCUUAUUGCCUAGAAUAUGGAGUGGUGCUAAUCACUUGCGUUCAUACUAGUGAAGUCUGAAGUAUAGUCACAAGAAGCUGUCACAAGCCUGCAGUGGCAUUCCAUGGCUGCAGGGCACAUGUUUUUUUCAGUCAUUGGCAUCUCAUAUGUCUUAGUAAUUAAUUUUAAAAACAAUAAAUGGCCAAUAGAUAAAAUUUAAUCAACUUAGAGAAUACAUCAAAAUCACUAUAAAGCAUCUUAUAAUUAUUCCAGUUAUUAUUUUUGUUUGGUAUUGGGGAAAGCAAAAAACAGAAGGGAAAUAUAGGAUCUCCUAUUUUAGAUGACAGAAUUUUUAGCUGCAGUCUAUCUAGAGGACUUCUCUGAGUAUUUUCUUCCUCUCUCCAUGUUUUUGUGUGGCAAAACUAUAGCAGAAAUGACACAGAAUGGCUUCCAAUUAGGAUGUCCUCACAUGGGUUGUGUGACUUUAGGGAACUUAUCUUGGGUGAGUUGAUGAAGAGUAAAUCAAUAUCAUAUGUGAUAAAUUUGUUGUAAUGCAAAAGUUAAAGUACCAUAUAAUAUAUUAGAGUCCAUAAAUUUACUAAUUUGCAAGGAGUUUAAAGAGGCAGAAAAUAUAUAGAUUGGCUGCAAGACUGCUUUUGAUUUUCUGAACAUGAUAAUGUGAAAAGGAGAAUCUGCGCCUUACUUUAAGAAAACACCAUAGAGAAUAUUAAAUAAAUACUAACUUUCCUCCUUGCACAUUAAGAAAUCAGGCAGCAGAGAGCAACUCAGCAAACAUUCAAGCAGAUUGUAGAUUCUUCAUAUUUAUUUAUAAGACACUUCCUUUCUAGUGUGAGCAUGUAAAAUCCAAUGUACAAAGAUCAAAACAUCCUGGUCAGAGAUAUGUGUAUAUGUCCUGUGGCCUUUAUUUCUUAUGUUAGCUUUACAAAUAAAAUGAGAUGGGUCAUGGUUUCUGUUCUGUAAUCCAGAUACAACCAGUCAUGUUUGAUGACAUCAAUAAAGAGCAUAUUGAAAAAAUUAUGUCUAUUUGAUAUUAAAAGAAUAUUUCUAGCACAAUAAAGAGUUAAACACCCAAGAAAACUGAUUCCAUAUUAUCACUAUGAAGCCUAUUUCAAUUUUUACCACACGAGGCAUAAGGUUUUGUAGAAACUUGUGCUGUUUGUUUUUAACAGGAAAUGGAGAUGCAGAGAGAGUUUUUGCGGUAAUAAUGUGCUCUACAUAUGCAAAAAUUAUUUUCUUCCUAACAUAGCUGUGCUAGUUUGCUUCAUUCAUACCCAUUGGUUGUAGCCAAAGAAAUCAGUCAAAUAAAAGCUGGUAGAGAUUAGACUUAGAAAUAUGGAAAUUAGUAGAAAUUUAGGGUUUCUGAAGAUAGUGACAUGAGAAAAUUAUCUAUUUAGAUUAACAAAUAUUUUAUACAAUAUAUGAUAGCUAUUAAUAUCUUUAUUUAUAAAUUACAUAUGCCCCAGAUUGGGUGAAGUAUGGGUACAAUGCAUAGAUAGCCAGAUAAAUGAUACAAAAACAUUCUCUGUAGGAGAUGUAAAAUUUUGACCCAGAUGGGAAUGACUUUUCAGCCCUCCAUAUGCUUAUCUCUAAGAAUCUUCAUUCAGGGAUUCUUGGUAUGGAUGCUGAGACUUGCUUCUUAAAUCUGAACCAUGUUGAGUGUCUUUCCCUAUCUAUGGCCCUACUUUUGUGUGCUUCUUUUGUAAUAAGUCUCUUAGCUCUUCCAUUUCAGAAUUCCUGGGCAGUCAAAAAGAGUUUUUCUUUCAAAAUUAUUGGAACAUUCUUUGCCACAACUGUUUAAAACAAUGUUAAUUGUUUUUCUCAUUAACAAAUAAAUGUAAAUAGCAAAACCCACCAUUGUAUCGCACACUUCCUGUGUUUUGGGCAGGUACUUUAGUUAAUUACCUCAUUGGGUUUUCAUCCCAAUUUUAACAGAAAGAUAUUAUUAUGGCUGUUUCAAUUGAGCAUACUGAGAUUAUUGAAUAAUGUUAUAGCUGUAGUGUUGUGACGUGGUCAUUAUUUUUUGAGUCUGGAAGGAGCUGGUCGGGGAGACUUGGAAUGAUUUAGUUUACUCCUUUAUAUAGAGCAGAACAAUGUUUCAGAGUUAGAAAGUGAUUUGACAAAGAGCUAGGUGGAGUAUGUGUUGGGGCCAGGAACAAAAUUCAGGACUCUAACUGCUGACCCACAGUCCUUCUGUGAAGCUAGGCUACCUCAUGAAAUAAAAUGACAACAUGCCUACCGCAAUAUGAUCACCUUUAGGUCCCUGAGCUACUGAUAUUUUGCCGGUAUUACUGUGGCUCCCUGUAACCUGGCCCAAGAAGAGGAGAAAGGAUUUGAGGAUAUGGGGUUAUCCUUUCUGGAUUAGAGCCGACCUGUGCCUCUGCACCCAGGCCUCUCUGUCAGACAGAGGCUGGCUGAUAUCCCCACAGGAAGAAUUGUUCAGAAUAGCUAUAGGCUAAUAAAUAGAACGUCUGGUAAAGCACAUUAAAGAAAAGAUAUACAAUGCAGGAGCAUGUUAGGAAAGUAAGUGAGCACUUUGCUUCUCCACUUAUCUGACCUCUUAUCUCCCAUGUUAAUGUCUCAGCCUCCAGAUUAAAUGAUGCAAAUGCUAGAUGCUGGACAAAAUGUCCCAAACACUCUCACCACCAUCCACUCGGGAGGAACUUGGGACUGGCGUCUGUGACAGGAAGACCGUGUGUGAUCCCUGUCCACUUCUUGGGUCUAGAUGUCUACACUAACCCACAUUCCAUUCUACCACCUUCUCAUUGUUGGACCAUCCAUAAAAUAGUUUUUUUUGGCUAUUUGGACUUCAAAGGUUAGAGAUCAGCAGGGUUCAGGUGAGAGCUGUGGAGGUAGUGAGGUAGAGAAGCGAAGUGAGAGUUGUUACACAAGGAAAGGAAAGCAAAACUUCAACAUCAUUUCCUCUGUGUCCCCAUGACUGAAGCUGGAUUCCUUCACACAUCUGCAAUUCACUGCCACCCCCACUGUGUUUAGUCUUUCAUUCAUCCCAUAGACUGACUUUUCUUCACAUCCCUUCAUUUCUCUGAUUAUUAUCCACCUUCCCUUGUUUUAUUCUGCCCAGUUUGAUUAUAUAGUUUU